AGGUGGAAGGAUGGCUUGAGCCUGGGAGGUGGAGGUUGCAGUGAGCUGAGAUCAUGCCACUUCACUCCAGCCUGGACAACAGAGUGAGACCUUGUGUC
rnacentral:miRNA from 1 species